rnacentral:lncRNA from 1 species
GCCUCUGGCUUUUAAAGCCAGGAGCUGGGGGAGGGGAAGAGGCCAACGGAAAUGGCUGCGCUGGGUCGGGCUCCGCCAGGGUCUCCUGGGAAGGGUCCUGGGGAUGCCUCGUCUAGGCGUGCGGGGAGUUCCCCGCGCAGCUAGGGGAAUGGCGGCCCAGCGAUCCGCGGCACUAUCGGCCAUGGGGGAGAGUGGGAAUACGCCCGACACCCACGCAUCCCGAACUCGGGGUCAUUUAGGGGGAACGCAGGUGAACCCCAUGCCGGCCCAGGAUGCCUCGCUUGCGGCCUUGAGGCGAGGGAUGUGCGGGGGAAGGGAGGCGGGAGACCAUGAAGCGAAUGCUGAGGCAGCGAAAGCGCAGUGUGGAAGCGCGGCGUGCGCCAAGUGCCGCAGUGUCUCCUGCCACUCGGUCACCCGGGCUGACCCCAUGCCCGCUGAAGGGGCCUCCCCGCCCCCACCUCACUCCCGUGAGGCCGACGUCGAGCUUUGCGGCGUCUCAACGAGUGGGGUGUGCAUGGCGUCCCGCCGCUUCCCGCAUGCGCUGCCUGACGCGGGGUUGGAGUGCACGCGAACGACCGAACCUGCGCAGGACGCGUGGAGACCUCCCGCCGGCUCUUUGCCAGAGGCCUGGCCCGGCACUGGCCCGACAUUCAUCUUGCAUGGCAGGCGUCCCCAAGAGGCGGGGACGGGCGAGACCGCCCCCUUAUCGCUGAGCAGCAGCCGGCGAGGCCCGCGGCGGGGCCCUCUGCAUCUGGAGGUUGUGGUGGUGGCGGCACAGACCCGAGGUGCAACCAGGAGAGGUUAGAGGCACACCCAGCCCCCAUAGCAGAAAGUCCAGGCUUAAGAGAGGGGUUCCAGGGCUGGGGGUGUGGCUCAAGCUGUAGUGCACUCGCCUGGCAGGCGUGUGGACCGGGUUCGAUCCUCAGCACCACAUACAAAGAUGUUGUGUCCGCCGAAAACUAAAAAAUAAAUAUUAAAAUUCUCUCUCAAAAAAA